AAAUAUAUAUACUUUAAUGGAGCUGUUUGUGCAUAGCAACAUUUAAAAUAUCCUUUUGUUUUUGCUGGUGGUAAAAUCUGAAUUGAAAUACUUAAUCAUCUUCUGUUUAUGUAUUUGUUUACCUAUUUACUUAGUUUCCUUCUCGCUUCCCUCCAGCCCUUUGGGUUUCUGUGGAGAAACCGAGAUAAGUUAAUCUGAACAAGCCAUGGUAAAGCUUGAAAAAGUGUUCCCCGUCAAAUUAWAGGGAACAACAUUUACUUUUCAUUUGUCUCCCAUAUUUUUGCGCCAGCUCUAAUCACAGUCUGCAUCAGGCAAGCCUGUCCCACGGAGGCUCUGCUCUGGAUCGCUUGGCUGUGCUGCUCCCGGAGACGACCCAACAGCAGCAUUCGGUGGGCUCCUGACAGGCUGUGAGACUGGGGGAAGUGGUGCUGAUCCGAGACAAACCAGGCAAUUUCUGGGGAAAAAAAAGAAAAAGAGGGUAUUUUUUCCAUCAUGAGUUUAUAAAACUUAAAAACUCUUGCUAAUUUAUAAUCUCACUGGAAUAUUUAUAYUUUUUUUUAGUUUUUAAAGAGAGUUGUAUAUCUUAUUUUUCCUCUCCUUAAUAUUGUUAAUAUCUGCUUCACCAUAACAUCGUAUUAUUUUUAAAGAUACCUUGCAUUGCACUUUCCCACGUUUUCUGAAUACYCUAUUUGCUUAUUUUUAAAUAAAAAGGAGGUGGCCUUACGAAAGCACUCAGCCACCUCCCRUGACAUCCUCCAAAGCCCGUUCGGUCCCCCCGAGCGCGGCAGCAGCACCGGCCCCCCGGGACUCACCGCAGCCGAGCAGCSGAGCCGCGCGCCGGCCCGCCCGGGUACCGACGGCACCAGAGCGGAUGCUCCUCUGCAGAGCCGCGUGCGCCGAGCCGAGCCGGAGACGCAGGCACACGCUUCUACAGCAGAGGGCAAUAAAGUGAAGCAGCUCACCAACACAGCUCAGCGGACACCGACAGGAGCUGAGGUGAGAAGAAGAGACCCGAAACCACUCUGCCUUAUUCUGCAAGGAGCCACAGUAGCAAAAUGACUGAGUUGGGAGCGGUGCUACGCUCAUGAGCAUGGUGGCAUCCAGGUGCUUUCUGGAUAUAAAUGCAGCACGCCUGCAGCCUGCGGUGGUCUGYGCUUGCCAAAGUAUUAAACCGAGAUUUAUAACACCAACUCUAGCUUAACCUCAGCAAAGCAGUGCUGCUACAGCUAUUGUGGUGUUAUCAGUUACUGUUUAUGGAGAUGAAUAAUGCAUGACCGGUUCCCGUGCUCCUGUGCGGUGGCUCAUCCCACUCCCUUCUUGCUGCUCUGUUUGAUGCGAUGAACCCCACAUUGCUGCCUAAGAAAACAGCCAGUUUUACAAAAUAGUCUUUUUUUUUUUCUUCUGACCAGCUCAUGUCAUUUAAAUAAAAACUAUAGAUUGUGUAUUCCUGUGGCUUUC
rnacentral:lncRNA from 1 species